GCACGAGUCAUUCCAAAAAGCAGGCAUAAGGGCCAUAUCGUUUCAGUAAUAAGUGAUUCUUGACAUGCAGCAAAUCUAUUUUCCCAUUUAAACCAUCAUCAGUGUGGUAAUUAGAACAAGUCUUUUAGUAUGAAAUUUGUAAUUGGUUAAUCAAGUUGUUCACGUAAUUAAAAUAAUAAAUAUAUUGACCAUGCAUAAAUUUUACAAUAAAUAUUUUAUUUAAGAGCUGAGGCGAGCUUAUAGAAACUCUACCCCAUUAAUCAAUAGUGCCAAAUAAUACCAUUCACAGUUUAGGGUAAAAGAUGAUGCUUGAAACAUUCAUCUCAUCGCAAAAAAAUUUGAGAUAUAAAUUGGUAAUGAUAGAUGAAAGGGAAAAUAGAAAUUAACCUCCAUGUUUUCA
rnacentral:misc_RNA from 1 species